AGGCCCAGGACGACCCCCACCACGAUGGGCAGGGCGCUGGAGCGGCGCUGUUCGGGGCAGACCUCCGCUGCAAGGAAAGGAAAAGAAAAGCGUGGAUGAGGAGGAGAAGGAUGGAUCAAAGCAGCAGAGAAGGAGAAGCCCAAAGGCCUGGAUGCGUUCUCGCAAGAUGUUCAGCUGGAAGCCCUCCUUGAGGACGAGGCUCCGGUUGCGGCACUGAUAGGAGUGGCCCAGGUGGGACUGGAACUCGUGCAGGGAGGCGUUGUCUGCCCCAAAGGAGGACUCUGGAAGGACGGACAAAACGGGUGACUCUCCAAAGUGGCUGGACCCUGACUCCCAAAAUCCCCCAAAGGCACUGCUAUGGGGAGGGGUCCCAGCUCCCCAAAUCUCCCAGCAGGUUCUCAAGAAGGGUUGGACUUCAGUUCCCAUAAUCCUCUAUACAGAAUUCCAGAAAGGAUGGACUCUUAGCUCCGACAAUCCUCAGCCAGUCUUUUGGUGGGAUUGGAUUCCUGAUGUUUCCAAAUCUCCCAAAUUUUCCCCUCCCAAAAUCCGCCUUGGGUCUUGUUUAAGAGAGGGAAGUGGGAUAUAAAAACUCCUCCUCCUCUUCCUUAUUGACACAAAGACAGUAUGACACAGCAAAUGAGAUAUAUAUGCUGGAUUUCAUAUGUUGUUGUUGUUGUUACUGUUAUUAUUGUUACUGUUAUUACUCCUCCUUUUUCUUCUUAUUGACACAGACAUAGUAUGACACAACAAAUGAGAUAUAUAUCCUGGAUUUCAUAUAUUGCUAUUAUUAUUGUUACUGUUGUUAUUAUUCCUCCUCCUUUUUCUUCUUCUUAUUGACACAAAGACAUAGUAUGACAGCGCAAAUGAGAUAUAUAUGCUGGAUUUCGUAUAUUAUUAUUAUUAUUGUUACUGUUGUUAUUAUUUCCUCCUCCUUUUUCUUCUUCUUCUUAUUGACACAAAGACAUAGUAUGACACAGCAAAUGAGAUAUAUAUGCUGGAUUUUGUAUAUUAUUAUUAUUAUUAUUAUUAUUGUUACUGUUGUUAUUAUUUCUUCCUCCUUUUUCUUCCUAUUGACACAAAGACAUAGUAUGACACCGCAAAUGAGAUAUAUAUGCUGGAUUUCGUAUAUUAUUAUUAUUAUUGUUACUGUUGUUAUUAUUUCCUCCUCCUUUUUCUUCUUCUUCUUAUUGACACAAAGACAUAGUAUGACACAGCAAAUGAGAUAUAUAUGCUGGAUUUCGUAUAUUAUUAUUAUUAUUGUUACUGUUGUUAGUAUUUCCUCCUCCUUUUUCUUCUUCUUCUUAUUGACACAAAGACAUAGUAUGACACAGCAAAUGAGAUAUAUAUGCUGGAUUUUGUAUAUUAUUAUUAUUAUUGUUACUGUUGUUAUUAUUUCCUCCUCCUUUUUCUUCUUAUUGACACAAAGACAUAGUAUGACACAAUAAAUGAGAUCUAUAUCCUGGAUUUCAUAUAUUGCUAUUAUUAUUGUUACUGUUGUUAUUAUUCCUCCUCCUUUUUCUUCUUCUUAUUGACACAAAGACAUAGUAUGACACCGCAAAUGAGAUAUAUAUGCUGGAUUUCGUAUAUUAUUAUUAUUAUUGUUACUGUUGUUAUUAUUUCCUCCUCCUUUUUCUUCUUCUUCUUAUUGACACAAAGACAUAGUAUGACACAGCAAAUGAGAUAUAUAUGCUGGAUUUCGUAAUUAUUAUUAUUGUUAUUGUUGUUAUUAUUCCUCCUUUUUCUUCUUCUUAUUGACACAAAGACAUAGUAUGACACAGCAAAUGAGAUAUAUAUGCUGGAUUUCGUAUAUUAUUAUUAUUAUUAUUAUUAUUAUUAUUAUUGUUACUGUUAUUAUUUUCUCCUCCUUUUUCUUCUUCUUAUUGACACAAAGACAUAGUAUGACACAGCAAAUGAGAUAUAUGCUGGAUUUCGUAUAUUAUUAUUAUUGUUACUGUUAUUAUUUCCUCCUCCUUUUUCUUCUUCUUAUUGACACAAAGACAUAGUAUGACACAGCAAAUGAGAUAUAUAUGCUGGAUUUCGUUUAUUAUUAUUAUUAUAUUGUUGUUGUUGCUGUUGUUAUUAUUUCCUCCUCCUUUUUCUUCUUAUUGACACAAAGAUAUAGUAUGACACAGCAAAUGAGAUAUAUAUGCUGGAUUUCGUAUAUUAUUAUUAUUAUUAUUGUUACUGUUGUUAUUAUUAUUUUAUUGUUAUUUGAAACUCAACAAGAUGAGUACACAGCAAACAAGACCACUAUGCUGGCAGUUGUAUUGGAUCACAUGUUGGACACCCAUUAAGUGUCUGGGACUAUGUGAUGUAUCGACAACUAAUGUGUGCAGAUCCGAGUAGGGUGGUUUUUUGCACCUAACAGAUGGUUAUUUUGUCAGCGAUUAUUGUGUUUAAGUGCAGGCCAAGGUCUUGAGGCCCUGCACCCAGUGUGCCAAUCACCACUGGGACCCCCUUGACUGGCUUGUGCCAGAGUCUUUGCAGUUCGAGCUUUAAGUCCUCGUAUUGUGUUAGCUUUUCCAGUUGCUUCUCGUCAAUCCUGCUGUCAUCUGAUAUUGCAACAUGGACACUGAACCAUGUUUUUUUCCACAAUCAUGAUAUAAUAAUAAUAAUAAUAAUAAUAAUAAUAAUAAUAAUAAUAAUAAUAAUAAUAAUAAUAAUGAUGUAUUAUCUUCUCAGCCACCCCUCCAGAGGGAUUGGAUUCUAAUUCCCCAGAUCUCCCAGCCCUUGUAUUCCCAUCCUUUCAUAUCUUGCAGUCAGCCCCGCAUAGGAUCGGACCCUCGCCCCUCAAACCCCCUUUACCUGUUCUUGCCCCUUCUUGGUGUAGCGGAUCCUGAGCUGCAGCCCCAUCUGGGCCCGGAGGCAGACCUCGGAGUCAUUCCCCUUCACGUGGUAGUCCCCCACCAGCACAAAGGGCACCACGGUGGGCGGCACUGGGGGUGGGGGGCUGCUGUGGUGGGCGGGCGUGGUGAGCACCGCCGUGGUGUGAUUGGUGGGCGAGUGGCCCGUGGUGGGCAGCGGGUGGGCCGUGGUGUUGGGAUGGGGUCGGUGAGUCGUGGUAAAGUUGUGAUGGUGAACCGUGGUGUUGGGAUGGGGCUGGUGAGUUGUGGUAAAGCUGUGAUGGUGAGCUGUGGUAAGGUUAUGUUGGCGGGUUGUGGUGUGAUGGGGCGAAGGGGUGGGAUGAGGCUGGUGAGACGUGGUACCAUUGUGGUGUCUGGUUGUGGUGGUAUGAUGUGUCGAAGUGGUGGGCCGGGGGUGGUGAUCCGUGGUGGUGUGGUGGGCGGUGGUGGUGGCGCGCCGGUGGUGGUGGUGCGAAGUGGUGUGCUUCUGGGGGCCGGCUGUGGUGGUGUUGGAGUGGCUGUGGAGCGUGGUGUGGUGGGUCGGGGUGGCGGUGUGAUUGGUCACGUUGUGAUGUGUUGUCGCCGUGGUGGGCAUCAUGGUUGUGGAGGGCGUCUCGGUGAAGGAGGGCAGCAGCGUGGCCGCCUUCCUUCUGUGGGGGCAGCCGGGGUCCUCUAGGGCCACGUCGUCCAAACACAGGGGCCCAUGUUCAGUGGCAGAUGCACAACCUGGACAGAGGCAGACAGACAAAUGAAAGGACAUCAUAGAACACAAGAGUUGGAAGGGAAGGACCCCUAAGGCCAUCAAGUCCAACCCUAUUAGAUAGAUAAAUAGAUAGUUGGAUAGACAGAUAGUAGAUAGAUGGAUGGUUGGAUGGAUGGAUGGAUGGAUGGUUGGAUAGAUAGGUAGAUAGAUAGAUGGAUGGAUGGAUGGAUGGAUGGAUGGUUGGAUAGAUAGGUAGAUAGAUGAAUGGAUGGAUGGAUAGAUAGGUAGAUGGAUGGAUGGAUGGUUGGUUGGAUAGAUAGGUAGAUAUAUAGAUGGAUGGAUGGAUGGAUGGAUGGAUAGGUGGAUGGAUGGAUGGAUGGAUGGAUGGAUAGAUAGGUAGAUGGAUGGAUGGAUGGAUGGAUGGAUAGAUAGAUAGAUAGGGAUGGAUGGAUGGAUGGAUGGAUGGAUGGAUGGAUGGAUGGAUAGAUAGUAGAUGGAUGGAUGGAUAGAUGGAUGGAUGGAUGGAUGGAUGGAUGGAUACGUGGAUGGAUGGUUGGAUAGAUAGGUAGAUAGAUAGAUGGAUGGAUGGAUAGGUGGAUGGAUGGAUGGAUGGAUGGAUGGAUAGAUAGGUAGAUGGAUGGAUGGAUGGAUAGAUAGAUAGGGAUGGAUGGAUGGAUGGAUGGAUGGAUGGAUAGAUAGGUAGAUGGAUGGAUGGAGGGAUGGAUACGUGGAUGGAUGGUUGGAUAGAUAGGUAGAUAGAUAGAUGGAUGGAUGGAUAGAUAGAUAGGUGGAUGGAUGGAUGGAUGGAUAGAUAGGUAGAUGGGUGGAUGGAUGGAUGGAUGCUUGGGUAGAUAGAUAGAUGAAUGGAUGGAUGGACGGACGGACGGACAGACGGUUGGAUAGAUAGAUAGAUAGAUAGAUAGAUAGAUAGAUAGAUAGAUAGAUAGAUAGAUAGAUAGAUAGAUAGAUAGAUAGAUAGAUAGAUAGAUAGAUAGAUAGAUAGAUAGAUAGAUAUGAUGGAUGGUUGAAUAGAUAGAUGGAUGGAUGGAUAGAUAGAUAUAAUCCUAGAGUUGGAAGAGACCUCAAGGGCCUACGCCCUUCACCCAGGAAGGAAGACACCAUUUGAUAUCUCCCAACAGAUGGCCAUCCAGCCUCUGCUUAAGAUACUUUGGCCCUCUUAAGCGGCCGAGGGGGAAAAGAAAAGGGCCUGAGGCUGUGAGGAAUGGUGGGAGUCGCAGUCCGGCCGUGACUUCUGCUUUGGAAGAAGAGGUUCAUUUUCCUGACUGUUAAGCAAUUCCGCUCCGAAAGGCCCAUUCCUUCUUGUGACCAAAAAAAGGGGAAGUCUGGUUGGGGUGAAGGAGAUGGAAAAAGCAGCUUUGCGGCGUCACUGCAAAAGGUCAAAUUAGCUCCAUAUUUGGAAGCCUGUGUUCUUGAGUUGGGCACUCUGGACAUGCUCAGAGGCAUUUGUGUCCGUGGGUCCCAAGGAGGAAUACUUACAUUUGAGAACAAUUUACUUUUGGAAGGGGGCAAAAAUUAAUACGUAUUUUUUGUUGGAGAAUAUAUUUUUGUACCAAAUGCCAACCCCAAUCCCCAUCAUCCACCUUUUCUCCCCAAAUGGAACUGUAUGUCUUUGCUGGGACAUACUUCCCAAUUUCGAAACUCAGUUCCCAUCAUCCACAAUUUCUGACCGUCCUUCCCCAUUGUCCCCGAAUGCAAUCAGUUCACUCCAUGACUUUGCUCUCUGCUAGAUUUAAUUUUUGCUCAGUUUCUGACCAGAAUUGUUAUUAUUAUUAUUAAUAAUAAGUUCACUCCAUAACUUUGCUCUCUGCUAGAUUUAAUUUUUGCUCAGUUUCCAACCAAAUAAUAAUAAUAAUAAUAAUAAUAAUAAUAAUAAUAAUAAUAAUAAUAAAAGUUCACUCCAUGACUUUGCUCUCUGCUAGAUUUAAUUUUUGCUCAGUUUCUGACCAGAAUUGUUAUUAUUAUUAUUAAUAAUAAGUUCACUCCAUAACUUUGCUCUCUGCUAGAUUUAAUUUUUGCUCAGUUUCUGACCAGAAUUGUUAUUAUUAUUAUUAAUAAUAAGUUCACUCCAUAACUUUGCUCUCUGCUAGAUUUAAUUUUUGCUCAGUUUCCAACCAAAUAAUAAUAAUAAUAAUAAUAAUAAUAAUAAUAAUAAUAAUAAUAAUAAUAAUAAUAAAAGUUCACUCCAUGACUUUGCUCUCUGCUAGAUUUAAUUUUUGCUCAGUUUCCAACCAGAAAUAAUAAUAAUAAUAGUAAUAAUAAUACAUCACACAGUCCUAGACACUUGGGAAGUGUUCGACUUGUGAUUUUGUGAUACGAAAUCCAGCAUAUCUAUCUUGUUUGCUGUGUCAUACAAUAAUAAUAAUAAUAAUAAUAACAACAAUAAUAAUAAUAAUAAUACAUCACACAGUCCUAGACACUUGGGAAGUGUUCGACUUGUGAUUUUGUGAUACGAAAUCCAGCAUAUCUAUCUUGUUUGCUGUGUCAUACAAUAAUAAUAAUAAUAAUAAUAACAUAAUAAUAAUAAUACAUCACACAGUCCUAGACACUUGGGAAGUGUUCGACUUGUGAUUUUGUGAUACGAAAUCCAGCAUAUCUAUCUUGUUUGCUGUGUCAUACAAUAAUAAUAAUAAUAACAACAAUAAUAAUAAUAAUACAUCACACAGUCCUAGACACUUGGGAAGUGUUCGACUUGUGAUUUUGUGAUACGAAACCCAGCAUAUCUAUCUUGUUUGCUGUGUCAUAAUAAAAUAAUAAUAAUAAUAAUAACUUUAUUUUUCUAUCCCACCUCUAUCUCCCCGAAGGGACCUGGGGUGGCUAGCAUGAACAGAGUUAAAAUCAUAAAUGAACAAUAUCAACAAAACAAGUCACAUAAAAACACAAUUCCCAUCAUCCACGUAUUCCAGGUUUUCCUCCUAAAUGCAUUGGACCCACACUUUGCUGAUGCAAAUCUCCCCGCCGGAUUUAACACAUUUGUUCCCAACUCUCACCACCCAUGUUACCAAACUCUGAUUCCCAUCAUCCACAGUUUCUGGUUGUUCCUCUCUGUUGGAUCCCAAUGCGACCUGUCCACUUUGUGGCUUUGAGGACGGGGGCGAUCCUACCUGCUGGGUUUCACAGAACGAAAUCCAGCCCCACUCUAAUUCCCAUCGUCCCCGUUUUCUCCCCCAAGCGCCGCGGAGGAGCGCGAGACCCACCUGCGGCCAGCAAGGCCCACCCGGCCAGGCACAGCAGGGCCCAGGGUGCCUUUCGUGGGGCCUGCAUCCUGCGCCUUCCUUGGGACGUCUCCUUGGGAGAAGCAGAAGAAGCAGAAAAGGAAGGAAGCGAAGCCGCGCCACAAAAGUCGUGAGUCAGCCUUUGGGGUGGGACACGGGACCCACAUGCGGCGGGAGGGACACGGGACCCACAUCAUGGGGCGCUUGGGAAAUCGCAGGCGGGGGAAGGGACCCCAAGGGGUCAUCCAGACUGACCCCCUGCUGCCUCCUUUGCACACCAUGUCAACAAGACAUGGGCCAACUUUGGCUCUCUCUCGAGGGGUUUUGGACUGCAACUCCCACCAUUCCUCACAGCCUCAGGCCCCUUCCUUUCCCCCCGCGGCCGCUUAAGCGGCCGCGGGGGGAAAGGAAGGGGCCUGAGGCUGUGAGGAAUGGUGGGAGUUGCAGUCCAAAACACCUCGAGAGAGAGCCAAAGUUGAGUGUGACCCCUUUGUGCUGUGAUGCAGGAAAAGCACCAUCAAAUCCCCCCUCCAGCCUGUUUUAAAGCCUCCAAAGAGGGAAUUUCCACCACACUCCGAGGCAGAGAGUUCCACUGCUGAACAGCUUGUAUGCUCAGGAAGUUCUUCCUUAUUUUCAGGUGGAAUCUCCCGUAUUUAUUUCCAUGGGUCAUUUGAACCCACAGAUCCUUUGAGUCCUGGUUUCCAGGGCAGCAGAAAGCAAGGCCUGUUCCCUCUUCCUUAGGACAUCCUUUCAUACAUUUAUGUUGUUUAUACAGUAGAGUCUCACUUAUCCAAGCCUCGCUUAUCCAAGCCUCUGGAUAAUCCAAGCCAUUUUUGUAGUCAAUGUUUUCAAUAUAUCAUGAUAUUUUGGUGCUAAAUUCAUAAAUACAGUAGAGUCUCACUUAUCCAACACUCGCUUAUCCAACGUUCUGGAUUAUCCAACGCAUUUUUGUAGUCAAUGUUUUCAAUAUAUCAUGAUAUUUUGGUGCUAAAUUCAUAAAUACAGUAAUUACAACAUAACAUUACUGCGCAUUGAACUACUUUUUCUGCCAAAUUUGUUGUCUAACAUGAUGUUUUGGUGCUUCAUUUGUAAAAUCAUAACCUAAUGUGAUGUUUAAUAGGCUUUUGCUUAAUCUCUCCUUAUUAUCCAAGAUAUUCACUUAUCCAACGUUCUGCCGGCCUGUUUAUGUUGGAUAAGUGAGACUCUACUGUACAGUAAUUACAACAUAACAUUACUGCGCAUUGAAUUACUUUUUCUGCCAAAUUUGUUGUCUAACAUGAUGUUUUGGUGCUUCAUUUGUAAAAUCAUAACCUAAUUUGAUGUUUAAUAGGCCUUUGCUUAAUCUCUCCUUAUUAUCCAAGAUAUUCACUUAUCCAACGUUCUGCCGGCCUGUUUACGUUGGAUAAGUGAGACUCUACUGUACAGUAAUUACAAUAUAACAUUACUGCGCAUUGAACUACUUUUUCUGUCAAAUUUGUUGUAUAACAUGAUGUUUUGGUGCUUCAUUUGUAAAAUCAUAACCUAAUUUGAUGUUUAAUAGACUUUUCCUUGAUCCCUCCUUAUUAUCCAACAUAUUCGCUUAUCCAAGCUUCUGCCGGCCCGUUUAGCUUGGAUAAGCGAGACUCUACUGUACUAUUCUAGCUUGGGGACCCGGCGGUGCCAUGGUCAUUUGGGAAUGUUAUUAUUUGUCUUUCAAUCUAUAUAUAUAUAAAGGAGUAAUGGUGUCCGUUCCUCCCACUAAACAACAAAAGUACAAGCCCCAGAACCUAGAAAUUUGGCAACACAACCCACCAUCCUUGCCCCUAGGUUCCGACAACAAAAAGAAAAGAAAAAUAAAGUCCUAAUUAGAGGGAGAGAAAUAAUUUUUUUUUUAUCCAAAUCUUGCCAGUUAGAAGGCUAAGCUCUGCCCACUUGGUCUCCUAGCAACCCACUCAGCCAAGUGUUCAUAGAAGAAUCAAAAAUAAAAUAAAUAUAAAUAAUACAAUGAAAAAUAAUAAAAAACACUAAAAUAAUUAAAAACACUAAAAAAUUAAUACAACAAAAUACUAUAAUAACAAAAUAACUACAAAUAAUACAACAAAAUAAUAAAAUAUCAUAAAUAAAACAGAUAAGUUACAACAAAAUUAAUUAAAAAGUACAAAUAACGUCAAAUAAAAAUUCCACAACAAUUUUUAACUAAUACCACCACCACUUUGCCGCAGCAACACGUGGCCGGGCACAGCUAGUGUUAUGUAUUCUGUUUGGAGUGAGUGAAGUGAAAUUCCCAGAAUCGUGGCUCAAUCUUCCCAAACCCUGCCAGUAUUCAAAGUUGGCCAUUCUGGGGCUGUGUAUCAAGUGUGGUCCAGAUAUGUUUUACCAUUAUUACACUGCACUUUAUUGUCCAUUUUAACUGUGAAAUUACCUGUCUCCAUUUUGGUCUUUUCCGCACUUUGCCUGGGAUCUAUGAAUUUAGUCCCCUGAUUUUAAUAUUGCAUGAUUCAUGUUCAUUUUAAUGAUUGUUUUUAUUGAUGUUGAUGUUUUUAUUGGGUUAAUUGUGUUAUGGCUUUGUGAUUGGUUUUUUGAUUGUUGUAUCAGGCAUGGCCCCAUGUGAGCCACCCAGAGUCCCUUCGGGGAGAUGGGGCGGGGUAUAAAAAUAAAGUUAUUAUUAUUAUUA